GUAUCCACUCAGUUGAUGAGCGAAGUACAAAGAAACACAAGGGUAUUAUUGAUGUAUGAACGAUCCUAAAUGUCGUCCUGACCUGAAAUACGUAGUAAACUGCCAAUGUAUGCUUGCAAAUGUAUAUAUGAAAGUUUAAUUGUGUGCAAAGAUCAGAAGGCCAGUGAAAUUUAGUAAAAGUACGAGAAUUUAAUCAGCAUGGAAGGAGAAAAAGAAAAAAAAUGAAAAAUCAGCAAACGCAUCUGGUUCAAACCACCCAAAAUCAGAAAAGUCACCAAAGGAACAUGUGGACGAAACUGCGCCAGGUGCAAAUCUCUCUGGUAAAGAAUGUCCUCCUGGUUCAAAAACAGGCGGGAAUCAGCCAGGCAUCCAAACUAGAUCUACAGAUACUUUAGCAACACCUGCCGAAUCUGAGACAACAAAAGCACACGAUACAUGCUCAACUUCUAGCACUGCACUAUCAACACUCCGGGCUGAUCUUAAUUUAAAACCUAAAUAUUCUUUAAAACAAGCACGAACAAUCGAUAACCACACACUUACCGAUGAUCAAUUAACCUGUUUAGAUCAAAUACCUCAAUAUAUUUUCAAUAAACUCA